rnacentral:lncRNA from 1 species
GAAAAAUUCAAGUAAGUACCUUUAUCUAGCUGCUGACUACUGAAGAUGAAAACCAGAUGUCUACAAGCAGUCAAAAAAGAUGGACCUUUCUUUUAUAGAAGCUGGAUAUCACUAAAGGAGCUUCACAAUUUCCCAAAGAGAAGACUACAAUGAAAGUACCGUGGAAGGACCCCAGAGCAAAACUGGUCGGGUUGAAAAUUGCCCACCACACUGAAGUUGUGCACUUCACAAAGUGAGUCCAAACACCCAGAAUUUCAAUUAUUGGAACUCGUGAUUUAUUAAUAAAGAACAAAUGAAGAAUCUACCA